rnacentral:sRNA from 1 species
AGAAAUAAAAUAGUUUUACAAAAAAGACCAAAGAGCUACCUCUGAGCUAGCUGUUACAUUAAGUUGAGAAAGUUUCCCAGCAGCUUAUUGACUGGGUAAGCAGUUGUUCAGGAUUGCUUUUCAUUGUUGGGUUUUGGAGUCCACAGGUUAGUGUGCAGGAGAGUAAGGCAUGUGCUGGCUCUCUUUCUCAUUUGAGUGAGGGUGCUUUUGAUUUUUUUGUGAAUUGUUCUGUAGUUUGAAGAAUCUAGAAGGACAGGCUAUCAACAGAGGCAGUCUGCUUAAGCAAGGUCGUCUUGGAGUCCUUUCUAACAAUUUGAUGAGCAGUAAACCUCUGCAAUCCUGUCUAAUAUUUGUCUUUAUGUUAUUUCUUAGGAGACGCUCUGUCUCUUCCUUCCCAGUCCCCCAGGACAAUGUGGAUACUCAUCCUGGUUCUGGUAAAGAAGUGAGGGUACCAACUACUGCCUUGUGUGUCUUCGAUGCACAUGAUGGGGAAGUCAACGCUGUGCAGUUCAGUCCAGGUUCCCGGUUACUGGCCACCGGAGGCAUGGACCGCAGGGUUAAGCUUUGGGAAGUAUUUGGAGAAAAAUGUGA